rnacentral:rRNA from 1 species
AUUGAACGCUGGCGGCAUGCUUUACACAUGCAAGUCGAACGGCAGCACGGGCUUCGGCCUGGUGGCGAGUGGCGAACGGGUGAGUAAUGCAUCGGAACGUGCCCAUGUUGUGGGGGAUAACUACGCGAAAGCGUGGCUAAUACCGCAUACGCCCUGAGGGGGAAAGCGGGGGAGUUCUUCGGAACCUCGCGCAAUUGGAGCGGCCGAUGUCAGAUUAGCUUGUUGGCGAGGUAAAGGCUCACCAAGGCGACGAUCUGUAGCGGGUCUGAGAGGAUGAUCCGCCACACUGGAACUGAGACACGGUCCAGACUCCUACGGGAGGCAGCAGUGGGGAAUUUUGGACAAUGGGCGCAAGCCUGAUCCAGCCAUGCCGCGUGAGUGAAGAAGGCCU